UAGGGGGCAAGCGUUAUCCGGAAUUACUGGGUGUAAAGGGAGAGUAGGCGGCAUGGUAAGUAAGAUGUGAAAGCCCUGGGCUUAACCUGGGGAUUGCAUUUUAAACUAUCAAGCUAGAGUACAGGAGAGGAAAGCGGAAUUCCUAGUGUAGCGGUGAAAUGCGUAGAUAUUAGGAAGAACACCAGUGGCGAAGGCGGCUUUCUGGACUGAAACUGACGCUGAGGCUCGAAAGCGUGGGGAGCAA
rnacentral:rRNA from 1 species